AUGUCCCCAGCUAAAGCACCGUCCACAGCUAUAUAGCAAUGAAUUUGCCUUUUGAAAGUAUGCACAUAGCAACCUCACAUUGUGCAGAGCCUUGGUGUUUAUCUACAAUCUGGCCAUGUUGGAAUUUCAAUGAAGAUAUCUUCCAGGAUAAAUGUUUGCUAGGGAGGUGGAAGGGCAAAGACUGCUCCAGCAGUCCAGCUACAAGGAUAUUCACCUUGAAGUGUCCUUGUCAUGCCUAUUCUUGCAGAAGCCAAAGUCUCUUCCCCAGACUUAGCUGCAACUUCCAGGCCAACCAAAGUCAAUGGGAUCUCCAUGGUGGCUCAGAAACAACCCUUCAGUGAGGUGUCAAUCCCCUGCUCUAGACAAGGCACCGGUUUGUCAUGCAGACCUACAGGCUGUCCCCGAGCAAGUAAAAACACUCAUUUAAUAAAAAUGUAAGUAAAAUGGACAGCUACAGCUUUCUUUCACUCUUGUCACAGCUAUAGCUGUACAAUACUUCUGAGUAACUCCUGAAGAAUUUAACUAAUGGCAGCUUUUCUUACUAAGAUCCACAUUAGUGUUGAAAACUUCACUGUUAAUACUGAAAUAGAUAUGCAUAGCUUAGAAAUGUACAUAAUGUAGUUUUAUAUAUAAUGCUUCUGGAUUUUUAUUUAUGCCUUUGUGUAAACAUGUGCUUUUCAUAUCUUCAUAUUUUCAUCUAUUAUCAAAGAAAUUAAAUUUAUUCCAUUAGGAGACAUGAAUUUAUCUAAUUUCUUCUGCCUUUGUAUUUUGUGGAAAAAUUCCUGUGUAUGUGCCAUGUGCAUGUGUUUUAGCUCCCUUAAGCUAAUUCAGAGCAGGGGCAAUAGACAGAGCUUUAUUAACCUCCAAGAAGGCAAAAUUA